AGUGAACGCUGGCGGUAGGCCUAACACAUGCAAGUCGAACGGCAGCACAGUAAGAGCUUGCUCUUACGGGUGGCGAGUGGCGGACGGGUGAGGAAUACAUCGGAAUCUACUUUUUCGUGGGGGAUAACGUAGGGAAACUUACGCUAAUACCGCAUACGACCUACGGGUGAAAGCAGGGGAUCUUCGGACCUUGCGCGAUUGAAUGAGCCGAUGUCGGAUUAGCUAGUUGGCGGGGUAAAGGCCCACCAAGGCGACGAUCCGUAGCUGGUCUGAGAGGAUGAUCAGCCACACUGGAACUGAGACACGGUCCAGAGUCCUACGGGAGGCAGCAGUGGGGAAUAGUGGACAAUGGGCGCAAGCCUGAUCCAGCCAUACCGCGUGGGUGAAGAAGGCCUUCGGGUUGUAAAGCCCUUUUGUUGGGAAAGAAAAGCAGCAGGUUAAUACCCCGCUGCUCUGACGGUACCCAAAGAAUAAGCACCGGCUAACUUCGUG
rnacentral:rRNA from 1 species